AUGCUUAUCACUAGUAAGGGUACUAGACAGAAACUCUCAAAGCUAGCCCUCCGUGGAUCGAGAGCAAAGGUGUGCUUCCCGCUCGACAGACAUCGCUCGGGCUUUUUUAAGUUUUUUUACUCGAAGACAACAUUCAGCAUACCUCGUGGUAUUCCAAGGAAGUCCAGGGAAGACCCCUGGCGCCGCCACUGCCCUAGCCUCCUCCCCUGCGCCAUCUCCCUCUCAGACGCCGCCUUCUCCCGCGCAACUACGGCGCCGCCGCGCCGCCGCCGGCGCCCAUCUCCUCGCCAACCAGCCUCCCACCCCUACAACCUACGGUUCAGUAUUCUUGUCUUACGUUCUGAGAUGAAGGGAGCAUACAAGAUAGGCAACUGGAGUGUAGUAGUUAGAUGCAAAUCAUACAUUCAAGACGCCCACAGGACUAUUUUUAGCAAGUCAAACUGGCCCCUCGAUGGAUGUUCAUACGACUUAUCAUUGAGUGACCAUGGGAGAGAGCAAGGGGCAAGGGCCAAGAACAGAUCGGUCUCUCAAGUGCCAUGGAUUGGCAACUGGGCUGGAGUAAAUGAUGUGAAUCAUGCAUUCAAAGAAUGCAAGACCACGGUGCUGUGGAUCGGUGGGAGGAGUGGCAGCUGCGAGUUCUCGUCAUAUGCUCUCGCUGCGCUCUUCAAUCGCCAUGGGAAGGAGCAGCGAAAUUCAUAUGGUGAAAGCGUCCUAGAGGUGGUGUGGGCGCCUGCCCUCUUGAUGCACCUGGGAGGACAGGACGGCAUAACUGCCUACAAUAUGGAAGACAAUGAGCUGUGGAGGCGGCACGCCCUCACUGCUGUGUCUCAGCUCACGGUGUCCAUCUAUGUGUUUUGUAAAUCAUGGCGGGGCGGCGACAAGAAGUUGUUGCAGGCAGCGAUCAUGCUCUUCACCCUCGGGUGCAUCAAAUGCUUAGAGAGGCCAUUUGCUCUGCGGAAAGCUAGCAUUAAUAGCUUAGUCAGCUCUUCUGAUACUAGCGCGAAGCCACAGCCAGACAACACGGAAAGCUGCUGCCAGAUCAAUUCACUUGGACACUACGUGAAAAAAGUGCGCAAUCUUUACCAAGCCGACCAUCAUCUUCCUGAUCAAGCGCAAAGAGAAGGUGGUAUUGAGGCUUCCAACCAUCUUCCUGAUCAAGUUGAAGGUGAUAUUGAGGCUCCCAACUAUCUUCCUGAUCAAACACAAGAAGGAGAAUAUGAUGGUGUGGCUCCCAAACAUCUUCCUGAUCAAGCACAAGGUGAAGAUGAUAGCGAGGCUCCCAAACAUCUUCCUGAUCAAGCACAAGGUGAAGAUGAUAGCGAGGCUCCCAAACAUCUUCCUGAUCAAGCACAAGCCAAAGGGGUUACUGAGACUCCCAAACAUGUUCUUGGUCAAGUACUAGGAGAAGGCCGUUCAUUGGCUCAUGAACAAAGAAAAAUUCGCAACCACCAAGUCAAAAAGCUUUUUGUGGACCUUGCAUCUCUGUACCAUGAUCGUCUUGUUGCCACAGAAUCCUUCUUGGCGCUAGAUAAAAAAGAAAAAGCAUACGAGCGGUUGCAAGAAAUGCUAUCUGACACGUUUGAUCUUCUGUACACCAAACUAGAGAUGGAACUGCCCGAUACAGAACUGAACCUCUUUCUUGUUCUUGCUCGCUUUCUGAGGUUCGGAUGUGUAGUCCUGCCAUUUGCAGCCAUCGGUCUGUUCCACCAGAGUCACAAAGAAGCUUAUAAUGAUAAGGAUGUCAAGGUUACAUACACAUUGUUAUGUUGUACUGCUGUGAUGGAGGUCUUCUCAUAUCAGUGGCCAUUUCCUGACAUUGUUUCGCAAAGCUUGUGCUGCAUGGUUGCCCAAUAUAGCUUCAUGGGAUACUUUGCCCGAAACAAAAAGUACACCAUGAGUAUGUCCAUCCUGAGUUCUCUAAAAUGGAAGGAGUAUGUUAACCAACAAUGGUCGAUGAAGCCCAGCAACUCAUCCUACAGAAUUACAAUCCUGGUUCGGCAACAAGUGAUAGGCUGGUGGACGCAACACAUACAAGAUGCUGCUGCUUACACGAGGUUCAACAACCACAGGGGCCAGUGGACAAUUCAGCAAAACGAAUGCGACACGCUCCUGGAGUCGAUCAUAAAGAGAUCGUUUGAUGAGAGCGUCCUUAUCUGGCACAUCGCGACAGACCUGUGCUUCUACGACAUGGGUGUAAGAUCCGGGCAUGACGAAACUGUGGUGGGAUGCAGGGAGAUAUCCAACUACAUGAUGUACCUACUGUACGUGAAACCAGAGAUACUGAUGGCUGGCACAAGGCGGAAUCUGUUGAUAGCAGCCUACAACCAACUCGAUAGCAUGCUCGGGAGCCAAGAGCAACCGCCCGUGGAUGAAAGAGCUGUCGCGCAGAGGUUAAUUGCCAAAGUGGAGGACUCAUCAAACAGAGGUUAUUUUGUCCACGACGCUUGGGUUCUUGCUGAAGGGCUGUUGAAGUUAGAUGAGGAGAAGAUGUGGAAGGUGAUUGAAGGUGUGUGGGUGGAGAUGCUGUGCUACUCCGCCAGCAGGUGCCGGGGGUACCUGCACGCCAAGAGCUUGGGAACUGGCGGGGAGCUGCUCACCUUUGUGUGGCUCCUUUGGUCACACAUGGGGAUGGAAACCAUGGCGGAGAGGAUGCAGAUGCCGGACGCCCAGCUCCCAAAUGUCCAUGGCCAUGGGAAACAGAGAAACAGAUGGCCUGUCAGCAUGAUACUUGCCAGGAGUUCCAUGGUUGAUGCCAUCGGAGAACACGGUGCCGGGAGCAGCCGGGUGCUCCCUAGCGUUCCCUGGCAGCCUCCCCCGAAAAGACUCACGUGGUUGUUCCAUCCCCACCUUCCCACCCCCCCUCACGUGAUCCCUCCCAUCCUACUUUCCCUCACCCCCCACCUCUCCUCCCCUCCUAUUCAAGGCGCCAGCCGGCAGAACAUCGACACCAUCUUCUCCCCCAAGAAAAGAGGCAAGAUUCAUCCUCCUCAAAUCGCAAAAGCUUCACGCCCUGCUCCAUGA
rnacentral:rRNA from 1 species